GACGAACGCUGGCGGCGUGUCUUAAGCAUGCAAGUCGAGCGGCAAGGGCAGCAAUGCCCCUAGAGCGGCGGACUGGUGAGUAACGCGUGGGUGAUCUACCUUGGGCAUGGGGAUAGCCAUUAGAAAUAGUGGGUAAUACCGAAUACGUUCGUUAUCGUGAGGGUAACGAGGAAAGGCGCUACGGCGCCGGCCUGAAGAUGAGCUUGCGUCCCAUUAGCUAGUUGGUGAGGUAACGGCCCACCAAGGCGAUGAUGGGUAGCCGGCCCGAGAGGGUGUACGGCCACACUGGGACUGAGAUACGGCCCAGACUCCUACGGGAGGCAGCAGCUAAGAAUAUUCCGCAAUGGACGAAAGUCUGACGGAGCGACGCCGCGUGGAUGAGGAAGGCCGAAAGGUUGUAAAGUCCUUUUGCUGGGGAAGAAUAAGUCUGGGAGGGAAUGCCCGGAUGAUGACAUGAACCGGCGAAUAAGCCCCGGCUAACUACGUGCCAGCCGCCGCAGUAACAC
rnacentral:rRNA from 1 species